UGUAUUUACAUUUAGUUUUUCGAAUAAUUACAACAAAAAAUUAUAGUAAGAUGUCAAAAACGGUGUGCGCGUCAAAAAUUUUAGAAUAUCUUCGGGAAGUUUGCGAGCCGGUCCCAUUCAGCCGACUUUCGUUAUUAUUUACCGGAGCAAAGCCAGAUGCAGCGACUCUUGCUGCAGUCAACAAGGAACUAGAUAAGGUUCUGGUCGCGAUAAUGGAACUGGGUCUGGUCCUGCAAUGCAACGAACACUAUUACAGUGUUACCCACGCAGAAGAUAUAGCUGAAGUCGUUGAUUUCAAAAAGGACGACGACGACGACGUCUCGGAAUCUGAGAGCGUGAUAUCAUUCUCUAGCUGUGAGUCUAUAGGCACGAGUAAGACAGGAACGAGUAAGAAGAGUGUAACGAUCAAGCCAACUCCAAAGAAAUAUUGAGAACUGGUGUACAUAACAAUUUAGUUCUCCUCUCCAGCACGACGAUAUCCAUUUCAAAAAUUUUAACGGAAAAUCACAUUAGGAUAAUGGCAGCACAAUUCCUAUAUUUCAUCGGAUAAAUUAAAUUGUAAUGAAAAUAUCUAUUCUUUUCAUACUGAAGUUAUUGGUUUAUCUGCCGAUUGAACUGGCAGGACGUCUGGGUACAUCGCUGAAUAUGAACCCGAAGUUAUUCUUGAGUUUUAAGAUUGGCUAAAGUGAAAGUGUAAUAGAUACCACAAUAAUAUAUGUAUAUCAUCAGGCAAAAUA